rnacentral:miRNA from 1 species
UCUGGGAUUUUUUAUAUUGGU